UCAUCAGCAACAAUUUCAGUCAUCAUCGCUUGGAUAAAAAUCACCCUGUUUCAUUGGAGAGACUACCGAUGUCGGUCGAGUUCAUCUUCUCUUUAAAUCCCCUCUGCCCUCGUGUACACCCAUGUGAGGGUGUGGGAUGUGGGGGUAUUCACGAGUCUGAGGCCAUAGCUUUUUUCCUAUCCCGCCUGGUGGUGGAUUCAACUUUUCAACGGAGGGAACAACUGCGAAUGUCUGGCUGACUUCCCAGGCUCAAAAGAUGUAGAUGGAGUUGAUUUAGAAUUCCACUCGUUCGAACUGGCCGCCCAACCGUUCGGUUGCCUGGAUCCAUUAAUCUGC